rnacentral:rRNA from 1 species
GACGAACGCUGGCGGCGUGCUUAACACAUGCAAGUCGAGCGGUAAGGCCCUUUCGGGGGUACACGAGCGGCGAACGGGUGAGUAACACGUGGGUGACCUGCCCUCAGCUCUGGGAUAAGCCUGGGAAACCGGGUCUAAUACCGGAUAUGACUCCAUGACGCAUGUUGUGGGGUGGAAAGCCUUGUGCGGCUGAGGAUGGGCCCGCGGCCUAUCAGCUUGUUGGUGGGGUGAUGGCCUACCAAGGCGACGACGGGUAGCCGGCCUGAGAGGGCGACCGGCCACACUGGGACUGAGACACGGCCCAGACUCCUACGGGAGGCAGCAGUGGGGAAUAUUGGACAAUGGGCGCAAGCCUGAUCCAGCGAUGCCGCGUGUGUGAAGAAGGCCUGCGGGUUGUAAAGCACUUUCAGUAGGGAAG